UUUAUAGCUUGCUAUGAUAGAAAUUAGUGGCAGACGGGUGAGUAAUGCAUAGGAAUCUACCUAGUAGUAUGGGAUAGCCACUAGAAAUGGUGGGUAAUACUGUAUAAUCCCUGCGGGGGAAAGAUUUAUCGCUAUUAGAUGAGCCUAUGUUAGAUUAGCUAGUUGGUAGGGUAAAGGCCUACCAAGGCAGUGAUCUAUAGCUGGUCUGAGAGGAUGAUCAGCCACACUGGAACUGAGAUACGGUCCAGACUCCUACGGGAGGCAGCAGUGGGGAAUAUUGGACAAUGGGCGCAAGCCUGAUCCAGCUAUGCCGCGUGAGUGAGGAAGGCCUUAGGGUUGUAAAACUCUUUCAGUGGGGAAGAUAAUGACGGUACCCACAGAAGAAGUCCCGGCAAACUCCGUGCCAGCAGCCGCGGUAAUACGGAGGGGGCAAGCGUUGUUCGGAAUUAUUGGGCGUAAAGGGCAUGUAGGCGGUUCGGUAAGUUAAAGGUGAAAUGCCAGGGCUUAACCCUGGAGCUGCUU
rnacentral:rRNA from 2 species